rnacentral:lncRNA from 1 species
GAUGGGCAAUUUACUUCACACGUUUCUUCUCUGGUCUGCCUGCAGGCUCUCGGGCCAGCGGCCGCCCCUUGCCCUAAAGGCCUCUGCGCCUGCCCAGGACAGCCAGGCCCUUUCUUAUUCCUGUUCAACCCGCGGCGGCCUCCUAGGCCCUCCUCUCCAGGCAGCUUGUGUGGCACCCCUUGUCCUCUCCCACAUGACAAGGGUGACCCUCUGGAGUUCCUGCAGGCUGUGGCCUCUGAGCCACCUGUUGGGAACUCCCGAAGGUUGCUGCACCCAGGGUCCCUGAGGACCCUCCUCCCGUCCGCAAGUUCGCCCUCCCGCUGCCUUCACCACCUAAGCAGGUCCCAGCCAGGCUCCCGAAGGAGACUGAGGGUAGGGCCGAAGAGGAGCCCAGAACAGUGACGCAGGAGCAUCACGUAGAGACCCAGGAGCAGGAUGACAAGAAAAGAGCCCCCGUAGCCACGGCAGGACUUCAUCCACGUCUAGGGCCCUGGAGACCCAGGGAGACCUCACCUCCUUCGGGUGCAGGCCCGGGCCUCUGCAGGGAAAUGCCCACCCCUACCUGUUGGAAAACCAUUUGAGAGAGAAGGCCCAGGUGUCUCCAGUGAGUGGCUCCUUCUGGGAGGGCCAUGAGGCCCCCAGCUCACACAGCCCUGCUGGAGGUGGCCUUCCCCUUGGGAAGCCUGACCCGGCUCCAGCAGUGCUCCUGGCCCCGGCCCCGGCCCCGGCCCCGGGCUGCUCCCUGCAGCCAGAGAAGGCGGCCAGGAAGGUGCUGGAUGAAGACCACCCACCCAGCUCUCCAAGCUUGCUGAUGUCGGGGAAGAAGAUGCAGGACAAGAAGCCUUCAGCUCUUCUGUCAUGGAACUCUUGUCCACUCAGAGCUGCCAGCAACAGGCCCUGCGAAAGGAAAAUGUGGAUUCCACCGCUGCUGCUCCUGGCCCCACCCUGUGAUUGAUGUGGGAUAGAAGUGAGUUGUCUCCACCUGCUAAGCUUCCCUGCCUGUCUAUUGAGGGAUACCUGGGCAACUUGGAGAACAGCAUGGGGUGUAAACAGAACAGCAAAAUCUUGGAGGAUAAAAUGGACAAUUUGGAGCACAAAACAGAGGCCAAGGCAAACUGCAGCACCAUCCAGCCUGCCCCUGCUAUCUCCCCACAUGCGGAAACUUCAGACUCUCUGUCCCUGGCCACCUACACUUUGCAGGUCCCAGCUCCUCCUUCCACCCUUGACUUGGCUGAGCCGGCUACCAGACCCCGCUGCCUGUCUGUCACACCAAGAAUAUCCAAAAUCCCUAACUCUCCAUUGUCUCUUCCCACUGACCUUGUUCCCAUAUUUUGGGUUCCACCUAAUGAGGAAGGAGGUUCUUCUCAUUCUGGAGUAGCUUCAGCAUCUCCCACUUCUGACCCCCUGACACCUAGCCCCACACCUUUCUCCUUCCGGCCUCCCUUCAGAAGGGAGUUCCCUACAGCUGUGUAUGUGCAUUCCCUUCCUCCUCUUUCCUCUCCCGCCCUUCUUCCAGGACCUUCCACCAGGAUCUCUGUUACCACCAGCAAGCAGAUAAAUUUCAAAGCAGUCAUUUUCACCAUCACAGCAAACACAUCUGCCCACCACACCUUGCAGCCUCCUUCAGAUCCUCAGGUCCUCAAUAGGGACACCACUUUCCCACCUAAGGCUGUGAUGUUCAGAACUUCCUCAAGCUCCAGGAUGAACUCUCUACUAGUUUCCCAAAUUGAUGGCAGUGCACAGCAGGGGCCCCCUGGUAAGACUCAACCUAUAUCACCCAGCUACAUUUAUAUUCCCCAGCCCCACCCCUCAGCCCAAAUUUUGGGUCCCUGAUUUGGCCAAGGCAAACUGCAGCACCCCCCAGCCUGCACCUGCUGUCUCCCCACCUGCAGAGACUUCAUACUCCCUGUGCCUGGCCACCUACACUUCCCAGGUCCCAGGUCCUCCUCCCACCCCUGACUUGGGCAUUGCCUCAGCCCACAUCUCCACCAGUUUGCCUGCACAGCCAGUCAUGAGACCAAUGACAACUUCUAACCACACUGUAAAUCUGGGAGCCACGGCUCCACUCACAUUGGGGGCCCCUAAUGGGCAGCAGUGGAAAGCCUGUCUCCCCAGUACCCCUGUUAUUCUGAGCCAUGAUGGGAUCAUCAUGGCUCAUCCAGACACCUCCAGUUUAGGGAGCAGAACCUCUGCAGCAUCAUCAUCCAUUCCUACCAUUGACAGCAGUGCUGUGGAUACCACCCUUAUUGAAAAGCUGUCAUCUUCCAGUCUGCCUCUGUCUCACGGAAGAAGUGUAUCCUUGUCUCAUCUGAGCCUCCUUGGUUCUGGGAAUACAGAUCCCAGUGGCAACAUUGUCUCAGUUCAUGUCUCCACCAGUUUGCCUGCACAGUCAGUGGUAGGACCAACUGUAACUUCUAACCACACUGUAAAUCAGGGAGCCUUGGGGGCCUCUGAUGGGCAGCAUUGGAAAGCCUGUCUCCCCAGUACCCCUGUUUUUCUGAGCCUUCCCAUGAUGGCUCCUCUAGACACCUCCAGUUUAGGGAGUAGAACCUCUGCAUCAUCAUCAUCCAUUCCUACCAUUGGCAGCAGCACUGUGGAUACGACUCCUUAUUCAAAAGCUGUUGUCUUUCAGUCUGCUGCUGUCUCAAGGAAGAAGUGCAUCCUAUCUUGUCUGGUGUUUCAUGGUUUUGGUAACACAGAACCCAGUGGCAACAUUGUCUCAGCCCACAUCUUCACCAAUUUGCCUGCACAGUCAGUCAUGGGACCGAUCCCAACUUCCCACAACGAUGUAAAUCCAUGAUCCACCUCCCAGCCCAUAUUUGGGGCUUCUCAUGGGCAGGAUAAGUCAGACCGUUCUUUUAUUCUGGGAAACCCAGCAACCCCAGCACCAGUUAUAGGCCUAAGGUGUUCUUGCAGCCAGCCACCCAGUGACAGCACAAUGGCAGCAGAUCUCACCAGUGUGACAUUACCAUAUUUUGCAUUUGAUUUGCCUAUCAAUGUGCAGCCAGGUAUGAUUAAAAAACCAAGUGCUUCCCUCAUUGGCACAGCCAAGUCAUCUACAUUUAGAGAUACCACCAGAAUGCCUGGCACUGGAGACAGUAACUGCAUCGGUUGACAAUUCUACUCUAGGCCCAGGGGGGAUAAUGAGACCUGGAGCCCCUAAACAUGGUGAAAACAUUGGGGUUAGCAUGUCUCUGCAGUUCCACAUCAAGAACACCGAAAACUAUACCAGGAUGGAGGGGAACAACCAGCACCAGCCUGUACCCCCAUUUGGUCAGGUAGCCUGGGGCUCACCUGCUCACACCACAUUGGUUGUGGCUACAAACACCAGCACCAUCCUUGCUUGUUCCACCUUCAUGCCAAAUACCUGGCAUGCACCACUCCAGAACCCAGGUGUUGCACUAGGAAGAGGCAACCACAUUCCCAUUGUUGGAGCUCCUCGUGGUUCCUUUUUCCAUCAGUCCAUGGUCGGUCCACCUGGACA